rnacentral:rRNA from 1 species
UACGAAGGGUGCAAGCAUUACUCGGAAUUACUGGGCGUAAAGCGUGCGUAGGUGGUUCGUUAAGUCUGAUGUGAAAGCCCUGGGCUCAACCUGGGAAUGGCAUUGGAUACUGGCGAUCUAGAGUGCGGUAGAGGGGUGUGGAAUUCCCGGUGUAGCAGUGAAAUGCGUAGAUAUCGGGAGGAACAUCUGUGGCGAAGGCGACACCCUGGACCAGCACUGACACUGAGGCACGAAAGCGUGGGGAGCAAACAGG